AGAAUUCGCCCUUANAGUUUGAUCAUGGCUCAGGACGAACGCUGGCGGCGUGCUUUAUACAUGCAAGUCGAACGAAGCAAUUUUGAGUUUACUUGAGAUUGACUUAGUGGCGGACGGGUGAGUAACGCGUGAACAACCUACCUUUAAGAGGGGGACAACAGCCGGAAACGGCUGCUAAUACCGCAUAAGAUCUUAGAGUCGCAUGGCUCAGAGAUAAAAGAUUUAUCGCUUAAAGAGGGGUUCGCGUAUCAUUAGUUAGUUGGUGGGGUAACGGCCUACCAAGACGAUGAUGAUUAGCCGGCCUGAGAGGGUGAACGGCCACACUGGAACUGAGACACGGUCCANACUCCUACGGGAGGCAGCAGUAGGGAAUAUUGGGCAAUGGGCGAAAGCCUGACCCAGCAACGCCGCGUGAGGGAAGAAUGUCUUCGGAUUGUAAACCUCUGUCCUUAGGG
rnacentral:rRNA from 1 species